AAAGCGAGCCAAGUUCCGAGGAGGGGGGCAUCGUCAGAAGUGCUACCAGCCUGGACGAAAAGAGGCCGUGAGCUUUCACGACUUAAAACCAGAUCUGGGCCCCAGCGGGAAAGAAAGCAGGUGGAAAAGUCAGCUUAGCCCCCAGUGAGGGCCCUUGGGUCUGCAAUCAACGUGGCCAAGGACGUGAUGGAAGUCUACCCAGAGGGCCACUGGAGGGCCACCGAGAACAGGGGACAGACGGAGGGCCGAGGGAGUGCAGUGGGGCCCACGAGAAAGCAUUUCCUUCACCCGGGGGAGGUGGCCCUCCCAGCGUCCACCCUGCAGGCCCCAGGAUUGCUGUGCGUGGUGCCUCCCAUUCCUAGCCCUUCCAGAAGGGAGUGUCCGUGGGUGUGCCGUUCCUGUCCCCCCACUGAGUGCCGGGUGUGUGGGUGUGUGUGCGAGGGCCGCCGUAACAAAAUACAAGACUGAGUGGCUCAUCAGAAAUUCACUUUCUCGCAGUCCUGGAGUCUGAAAGUCCAAGAUCAAGGCGUUGGCAGCUCAGUGCCAUGGAACAGGACCACAAGAAAGAUAAGACCCUGACCCGGAGAAGCUGGAAUUCCCACAUAUGGAGAAAGAGCCUGUGAGGGCAAAACUGGAAACAACCCAUCAACAGGCACCCGGCUCGAAAGUUUGUGGUACAUCCACACAUAGAACACCUCUGAGCAGUAAGAAGAAAUGAACUCUCGAUACACCCAACAACGUGGAGGAAUCUCAAGGUCACGACGCCGGGGGAGAGCAGCCAGGCAACAAAGAAUGCAUACUGGAUGGUUCCAUUUAUAGAACAUUCUAGAAAACGCAAACUAACCUGUCGACGGAAAGCAGCUCGGUGGUGGCCUUGGGACAUGGGGGGCCAGGAGGUCCCACGAAGGGACGCAAGAAAACUUUUGGAGGAUGGUGGCUAUGCUCACCGUCUUGUGGGUGCGUACAGAUGCCAAAACCUGUCACAUUCUGCGAUGCAAACGCGUGCACCGACUGUAUGUCCGUAAAUUGCAAAACCAGAUUCCUGCCCUGCCACUCCCCGGCUGAGUGACCUUGGGUGGGUCACCUCACGUCUCCCGGCCUCGUGGAGAACAGUGAAAUAAUAAGACAGGCAGCCUCGCGGGACGGUUAUGGGGAUUCAGUAAUAUCACGUUGAUUGCCUCCAUCCCAAGCAAACCAUGGGUGGCCCAUCCAGGGCAGAGAGGGGCACGACGGGCCAGGGGCACAGAGAGGCC